AUGGCUAAAUUAGGAAAGCGUUUCACUUACACCGAAAAGUCAUCCGCGCAAAUCGGAUUAUUCUGACACUCAAAAGCUAGCUUUAUACAACACCUAACACGAAGAUAUCAAUACAUGUUAACAUACUAAUCAUUUAAUUAAAACAUUUUCCACAUCUUAGUACAGGAGAUAGAAAAGGAAGAGUAAGCUAUAGUUUAAGUACCGCAAGGGAAUGCUGAAAGAGAAAUGAAAAAACUCAGUAAAGUAAAACAAAGCAGAGAUAAAAACUCGUACCUUUUGCAUCAUGAUUUAGCAAGAACUAAUUAAGCAAAAUGUUUUCUAGUUUACUACCCCGAAACUAAGUGAGCUACUCCAAGACAACUUAAUAAAAGGGUAAACACGUCUCUGUGGCAAAAGAGUGUGAAGAUCUUUGAGUAGAGGUGACAAACCUACCGAACUUAGUUAUAGCUGGUUGUCUGAGAAUUAAAUAGAAGUUUAGCCUUUUAUUUUCUGAGUUUUACUCUGAUUUAUCGUUAUGAUAAUAAAAGAAUAUUAAAGAGUUAUUCAUAAGGGGUUCAGCUCUUAUGAAAAAGGAUACAACCUUAAUGGGUGGUUAAUGAAUAUAUAAAGUUAAUGUUUUAGUAGGCUUGAAAGCAGCCACCUAAGAAAAAAGCGUUAAAGC
rnacentral:rRNA from 1 species